rnacentral:rRNA from 1 species
GAUGAACGCUGGCGGCGUGCCUAAUACAUGCAAGUCGAGCGAACAGACGAGGAGCUUGCUCCACUGACGUUAGCGGCGGACGGGUGAGUAACACGUGGAUAACCUACCUAUAAGACUGGGAUAACUUCGGGAAACCGGAGCUAAUACCGGAUAAUAUAUUGAACCGCAUGGUUCAAUAGUGAAAGACGGUUUUGCUGUCACUUAUAGAUGGAUCCGCGCCGCAUUAGCUAGUUGGUAAGGUAACGGCUUACCAAGGCAACGAUGCGUAGCCGACCUGAGAGGGUGAUCGGCCACACUGGAACUGAGACACGGUCCAGACUCCUACGGGAGGCAGCAGUAGGGAAUCUUCCGCAAUGGGCGAAAGCCUGACGGAGCAACGCCGCGUGAAUGAUGAAGGUCUUCGGAUCGUAAAACUCUGUUAUUAGGGAAGAACAAAUGUGUAAGUAACUAUGCACGUCUUGACGGUACCUAAUCAGAAAGCCACGGCUAACUACGUG